rnacentral:sRNA from 14 species
UACCUGGUUGAUCCUUCCAGUAGCAUAGACUUAAUCUCAAAGAUUACGCCAUGCAAGUCUAAGUACACACGGCUGGUACAGUGAAACUGCAAACGGCUCAUUAAACCUUUACUUAAUUCAUUUGAGGUAAUUUUAUUAAACACAACUUUAUUCAGGAAUUUUCACCAUGUGAGCAAAAUUCCAAAUCAAAAAAACCUCUUAAAAACCGGUUCCUUCUACAAGAUCCUCCAGAUGAGGUAAACCAACAUUUUACUAAGUUUUUAAAUAAUAUGUAAUUUGAAGCAGUUUUUUUGCAUUGAAAUAAUGUUUCUGAUUUUUUUUGCAUCUGAACUCAACACUUUUCAAAAUGUCUGAAAAAGCUCGGAAAUUCGGUGCCUUUUAAAUCUCAAAGUCUGCUGACACAGAUUCUCUUCCAUGUUUAUCCAUGUUUAUCCAUGUUUAUCCAUGUUUAUCCAUGUUUAUCCAUGUUUAUCCUCACUAACCAACCUGUAAAAAGCAACAAAAAGCGGCUUUUAUUUUGACACUCCCCAAACCGGAAGUCCGCCCUUCACUCUCGCCCGCUCGUCGCAGAAGAGAAGCUCCGACGCGCCGCAGCAGCUAAACCCGCGGCCGAGCGACGAUGCUCAGAGUUCCCGUUCACCGGGGAAACAACGGGGACAAGAAGGACAC